rnacentral:rRNA from 1 species
GACGAACGCUGGCGGCGUGCUUAACACAUGCAAGUCGAGCGAUGAAGCUCCUUCGGGAGUGGAUUAGCGGCGGACGGGUGAGUAACACGUGGGUAACCUGCCUCAUAGAGGGGAAUAGCCUUUCGAAAGGAAGAUUAAUACCGCAUAAGAUUGUAGCUUCGCAUGAAGCAGAAAUUAAAGGAGUAAUCCGCUAUGAAAUGGACCCGCGUCGCAUUAGCUAGUUGGUGAGGUAACGGCUCACCAAGGCGACGAUGCGGAGCCGACCGGAGAGGGUGAUCGGCCACAUUGGGACUGAGACACGGCCCAGACUCCUACGGGAGGCAGCAGUGGGGAAUAUUGCACAAUGGGGGAAACCCUGAUGCAGCAACGCCGCGUGAGUGAUGACGGUCUUCGGAUUGUAAAGCUCUGUCUUCAGGGACGAUGAUGACGGUACCUGAGGAGGAAGCCACGGCUAACUACGUGCCAGCCGCCGCCGUAA